AUGAACGUGGUUCUGGCUGCGGGGUGUCUGAGCCUGGUCCUCAGCCUUUCUGGAGAUUCUGUGAGUUAUCCGCUGGCCUACAAAUACAGUCCUGUUCUACUUGAAUUAGCCAGAGCUGAUGGAUUCUGUUUACUUGAAGCCGAGAGCCUGAUCGGUGCUAGAGCCGGAGGAAGAGCGAGGGAAGGUGGACGUGCUGCGUUACAGGAGCACCAGCCGAGCGCGGGAUUACGGGAGCACCAGCCGAAGACCAAGCGAGCAGGAGAGGAGCCACACGCUCUCCCACACCGUCCCACAGCCUUGGCGGUUUGGCACAUAAACUGGAGUCACCGGGUCAUUAGAAAGGGCAGUGGGAUGCCUACCCCCCGAUCUUGGGAAAAUUCAAAUUCUUGGGCCUUGUCCCAGACCAACUGCAUCAUAGACUUCAGAAGAAGAAGAAGAAGAAGAAGAAGAAGAAGAAGAAGAAGAAUCAUACCCUUAAAAAAAAAAAAAAAAAAGAAUAUGAGGAACAACACAGUACAGAAAUAGGUUUGUUUUGUUUCCAGGGAGAAAUUCUCUUCUUGCGGUUAUUCCAAGACGUUGUCUCUCUGACAAUUCGCCGGGGUUUCCUAAGGGCUAAAUAAGUAGCGCCCCCUGCAGUCAGGGUGAGUGACGGGCUAAGAAAACCCUUGUAAGGGCGACUGAGCUGAGGCAGCCCAGAUGUGCCAGGCAGCAGCCAGAGGGGAGGCUGGGGAGGAGCCCUAGGAGCAGGAGAGAGGGUGCAGAGUGACGCCAGACAGACCAGGG
rnacentral:lncRNA from 1 species